AGUAUACUUGCCUGGAGAAUCCCAUGGACAGAGGAGCCUGGUGGGCAACAGUCCAUACAGUCACAAAACAAUUGGACAUGACUGACUUAAAAACAGCACCCUACCUGUCUAUCAGUGGUCCGUCCAGACAACAGUAACAGCCAUGAAUAAUGAAAAGGAACAGGCCACUGACCACAGGAACCUCCAAGGCCUUCCGCUAAGUUGAAGAGGCUGGCUAGCUACUGCCUUCCAUAUGCUGCACAGACAGGCAGAGAGAGCACACCAGCUGUCACCAGAGGCUGCGAUUUGGGGCAGGGGGUGGGUUCCCAGGGGCACCGGAGAACUUUCUGGGGUGGUGGAAAGUGCUAUGCCUUGAUUGUGGUGGUGGUUACAAACCAUAUGCAGUUGUCAGAAUUCAUGGAACCAUAGGUCUUAAAAGGGUAAUUUCCUAAAUUAUAUCUCAAACACCAGACUUAAAAAAUGCUUUCGUGCAUUUCAAAAAGCCACUGUGAACCACAAAACAACUGCCUGCUUCCUUUCAAGUGUUUUUGUUGUGACCUCAAGGGCCGACCACAUGGGGAGAGAUUCCUUUUUCAUUCUGGCUUAGUCAGACCGAGCUGCCCUAAUGAAAUGCCAUAGACUGCUGGCUUACACAACAGAAAUUUAUCUUCUCACAGUGCUGGAGGCUGGAAGUCCAAGAUCCAGGUGGCAGCCGACCCAGUUCCUCCCGACCCACAUGGCCUCCCUGUGGAUUCAGGCUAGACUCCAUGGGACUCACUGGUACUCUACUACCUUACGAGCAUGCAAUCCUCAGAGACUUUGCCAUCAAGGAUUUCCAUUGGCUGUACAUCUCCUGUGAUACUUCAGCCUGAAACCCAUCCCUAAUUGUUUUCAAGCCCUGGAUGAAUGCUCUCUAUUCCAGUUCCCUUAUACAGACACUCAUUUAUCACAGCUACACCACCGUUCUGCCAGAUGACUCAGACUCUUCUUAAUAUAUUUAGAUAUUUUCAAUAAAACACAGCAGUUCCAAAUAAAAUUGGGUUUGUGGUUUAAGUUUUAAGAUGUGACAUUCCUGUUGCUUUGUUGGAAUCGUCAAAUAACUUUAAAAUGAGUUGGAGGAAAGAUGGCUUGUAAAUACAUUUACACACACACACUCUCACUCUGCACAUACACCCUGAUAUACACUGACAUUGACCAAACUAAAUUUUUUAAAGGAAAAAAAAGUCAUUAUGCUUAAAUGAGAAGAACUGAAACUCAUGCAGCAAACUUUGAGGAUUUUCAGACGAUGGCAUUAUAGUUUUAUCAGAGUGUAAGAAGACACUGAGAAAUAACAGACACAGCGUGUUCUGGAGUUCCUCACAGUGCAAAACAUUGUAAACAAAGUGAAGAAGAAGAAAAAAAAAAAGCCUAUGGAGUCCCACACUAGCCACAGCUCAAAGGACAAAAGCCCGUGGCCCAGGAAGGAGAAGGGGAAGACAGGGGGCUGCUUCUUUUGAGCCACUUGACCUCUGCUGGAACAGGCUGGAGUCAACCAGCCAUGUGAAACUUCUCCACCCCCAUUGCCACCCCCAGCCUUUGACAUAACUUCUUAAUGGCUCUAUUCUUCCAGAACUCUGGGUCCAGACCCUGCAGGAUCAUUUUAACCAGUGUAUUCACUGAGGCCAAUCCAUCUACUUUGAUUCAUCCGCUGUAAUCUCAUUUCCUGAGCCAUUUGCUCCAACUCUGCACCCCCUCUGGCCUCUAAAUCAGCUCUACAGGAGCCAGGUAAGAGGGUGCAGGCAUCCGCCCACCCUCUGCUCUGGCUCAGCCUGGCACAGACCUGAAGUUUCCUGGGCACGUCCCUUGAGUGCCAUGAGCAGUGGAAUUAGAAGCUGGAGCAUUUUCUUUUCAUUCCAGUCCAGAAUUUCCCAACCCGGGCCCCGAGCCAAAGCUGACAAAAUGCCAGCCGUGGCUGCUUCAGUGGCGGCCAUCACAAACGCAUGGCGGGGCUGGUCCCGGGUGACGUCACAGGAAGCCCGGGGUCAGGAGGAAGCAGGGGCCGCGGGGCAGCCAGGCUCAGGAGCCUCCGCACAGCCCGCUCCCUGCCCGUCUGCCUUCUCUCUGCAGCAGGGACUAGGGGGACACCAUAUCAGGCACACUUGUCUGCACCCACUCCCCCACCCACGACUGUGAGUCUCUUGAGGAGGCGUGUGUUCUAGUGUCUGCUUGAGCAUUAAAGGGCUCUGGGUCUUUGGGUGAGUUUUCAUAUUCUCGGGAAGCGGAUCCCAAAGCCUGCUAUUGUGACCAAACCCAGGUCUAGCUGCUCACUGCUCAAAAGCCAAUAAAGGGGCCAGGUAGGCGGAAAG